rnacentral:rRNA from 1 species
UUGGAGGGCAAGUCUGGUGCCAGCAGCCGCGGUAAUUCCAGCUCCAAUAGCGUAUAUUAAAGUUGUUGCAGUUAAAAAGCUCGUAGUUGAAUUUCGGGAUCAAAUUGUCGGUCGUGCCUCGGUACGCACUGGUAUUAUUGGUUCCUACCUUCUGAAGAACCGCGAUGUCAUUAAUUUGGUGUCGUGGGGAAUCAGGACUGUUACUUUGAAAAAAUUAGAGUGUUUAAAGCAGGCUUACGCUUGAAUACAUUAGCAUGGAAUAAUGAAAUAGGACGUUUGAUUCUAUUUUGUUGGUUUCUAGGAUUGACGUAAUGAUUAAUAGGGAUAGUUGGGGGCAUUAGUAUUCAAUUGUCAGAGGUGAAAUUCUUGGAUUCAUUGAAGACUAACUACUGCGAAAGCAUUUGCCAAGGAUGUUUUCAUUAAUCAAGAGCGAAAGUUAGGGGAUCGAAGACGAUCAGAUACCGUCGUAGUCUUAACCAUAAACUAUGCCGACUAGGGAUCGGAUGAUGUUAAUUUUUUAAUGACUCAUUCGGCGCCUUACGGGAAACCAAAGUGUUUGGGUUC